AACCGAGUCACCGCCUCUCUGGGCAGGAAGGCAUAGGUCUCAGCUAUCUGCGCCGGGGGAGAAGCAAGGGUUACUGCGGAUGAACUGGAACUGUGUGAAGGAGGAGGGUCCUUUUAUUUAUUUUAUUUUAUGUUCGUGUGAAAGUUUGGGUUCAGAUUUAGGUGUUAUCUCAACAUGACACGAAGAGGAAUCCUCCCUUCAGGCCGGAACCGGAGCAAUCCGACGAUCCAGUUCCGAAUCCUUUCCGCCAGGGUUUGAACACUUUUACCUCAGCAAAAUUGAAGUACUUAUCACGGUGCAUCUCCUGCCCUGUUUUUGUUUCCGCUGCUUUGCCACCCUCCCCGCGUCACCGCCCUCUGGCGUUUUCCUGCAAAAUGCGACCUUCACGUGACCAUGGAGAAGGCGGUGGGGGUGCCCACCGUCCCGUUCAGCCCGCCUCCACCAUCCCACCCUCCCUUCACGGCCCCUUGAGGCAGCGGGGAGGGAAAGGCCACCCAGAGGAGCGUGCACCUCCCAGAAGGCCACAGUGACAGCUCCAUAUUAUGCCCUGCCCCAGAGAUGCUGCCUCCUCAAAAGGGUACACUCUAUGAGACGUGACAGGACCUCUCUACAGGGCAGGAAGAUUUUUUUCUUUUUUAAUUCCUGGUGGAGUAAAAGGAGAGGAGGGGGUACCCUAAACAACCCCAAUACACCCAUCUGCACCUCUGAGGCUGGAAACACAGAUCUGCUGCUGCACCGUCAGGGCAACACAUGCAACCAUUAGACCACAACUCUGUGAUUUCAUGAUAACAGACUGCCUUUGUUCCAGAAAUAUGGACUAUGUGGCACAAAAAAAGCAACAUAAGUACUUUGUUUUUCUGCUGGUUGUUACCCUGGUAACUCCUGAUGUUAUAAAUGAAACAUUAUACUCCCAGA